GACGAACGCUGGCGGCGUGCUUAACACAUGCAAGUCGAACGGUGAAGGGAUUGGUUUUUGCUGGUUCUGGAUGCGUGGCGCACGGGUGAGUAACAUGCGAGUAACCUGCCUCCUUCUUCUGGAUAACCGUAUGAAAGUGUGGCCAAUACCGGAUAUUCUGCGCCUGGUGCAUGGAGGGUGUGGGCAAGCUUUUGUUUCGGUGGGGGACGGGUUUGCGGCCUAUUAGCUUGUUGGUGGGGUGCUGGCCUAACCAGACGAUGACGGGUAGCCGGACUGAGAGGGUGGGCGGUCACACUGGGGCUACGCCACGGACCAGACUCCGACGGGAGGCAGCGGUGGAGAAUGGUGCACAAUGGGCACAAGGCUGAUGCAGCGACGCCGCGGGAGGGAUGGAGGCCUUCGGGUUGUAAACCUCUUUCGCCAGUGAAGCAGGCCUGGCCCUUAUGUGGGUGGGUUGACGGUAGCUAGAUAAGAAGCGCCGGCUAACUACGUG
rnacentral:rRNA from 1 species